UAGUCCACGCCCUAAACGAUGCUGACUAGUUGUUCGGGAUUUACAUCCUGAGUAACGUAGCUAACGCGUGAAGUCAGCCGCCUGGGGAGUACGGUCGCAAGAUUAAAACUCAAAGGAAUUGACGGGGACCCGCACAAGCGGUGGAUGAUGUGGAUUAAUUCGAUGCAACGCGAAAAACCUUACCUACCCUUGACAUGUCACUAACGAAGUAGAGAUACAUUAGGUGCUCGUAAGAGAAAGUGAACACAGGUGCUGCAUGGCUGUCGUCAGCUCGUGUCGUGAGAUGUUGGGUUAAGUCCCGCAACGAGCGCAACCCUUGUCUUUAGUUGCUACGCAAGAGCACUCUAAAGAGACUGCCGGUGACAAACCGGAGGAAGGUGGGGAUGACGUCAAGUCCUCAUGGCCCUUAUGGGUAGGGCUUCACACGUUAUACAAUGGUGCAUACUGAGGGUUGCCAACCCGCGAGGGGGAGCUAAUCUCAGAAAAUGCAUCGUAGUCCGGAUCGUAGUCUGCAACUCGACUACGUGAAGCUGGAAUCGCUAGUAAUCGCGGAUCAGAAUGUCGCGGUGAAUACGUUCCCGGGUCUUGUACACACCGCCCGUCAUACCAUGGGAGUGGGUUUUGCCAGAAGCCG
rnacentral:rRNA from 1 species